rnacentral:sRNA from 1 species
ACAGACCCGCGUUAGGGAUUGAUGCGGCAUCCUUUUUACAAAUUGGCUAAGCUAUAAACUAAGGAUGAAACAAGUUUUAAUUGAAGUGCUAUUACAAACAGAACACUCCAAACCUUUGUAAAAAGAUAUAGCGGAAAGCCCGACCCUUU